UGUAGAAAAAUACCCUGAACACGCCUGAUCUCAUCUGAUCUCAGUAGCUAUGCAGGCUCGAGCCUGGUUAGUACUUGGAUGGAAGACCUCCUGGGAAUACUGGGUGCUGUAG
ensembl:rRNA 5S_rRNA 5S ribosomal RNA